rnacentral:rRNA from 1 species
AGGGUGAACGGCCACAAGGGGACUGAGACACGGCCCUUACUCCUACGGGAGGCAGCAGUGGAGAAUAUUCGACAAUGGGCCACGAGCCUGAUCCAGCAAUUCUGUCUGCACGAUGAUGGUCUUCGGAUUGUAAAGUGCUUUCAGUUGGGAAGAAGAAAGUCGACGGUACCAACAGAAGAAGACGACGGCUAUAAUACGUCCGCAGCAGCCGCUGGUAAUAUCGUAUGUCGACAAGCGUUAUCCGUGAUUUAUUGGGCGUAAAGCGCGUCUAGGCGGAAAAAUAAGUCUGAUGUUAAAAUGCGGGGCUCAACUCCGUAUUGCGUUGGAAACUGUUUUUCUAGAGUACUGGAGAGGUGGGCGGAACUACAAGUGUAGAGGUGAAAUUCGUAGAUAUUUGUAGGAAUGCCGAUGGAGAAGUCAGCUCACUGGACAGAUACUGACGCUAAAGCGCGAAAGCGUGGGGAGCAAACAGGAUUAGAUCCCCUGGUAGUCCACCCCGUAAACGAUCAAAAAAAGGUGUUGGGCGUCGAACCUCAGCUCCCAAGCUAACGCGAUAAGUUAUCCGCCUGUGGAGUGUGCACGCACAGUGUGUAACUCUAAGGAAUUGACGGGGAGCCGCGCACAACGGUGGAGCACGUGUGUGUAAUUUUGGAGCAAAGCGAGAAACCUUUUCCAGGGUCCGACAUCGUAAGAAGAUCUCCACGAGAAGGAUUGGAGCCGGCUUUGCAGAUCAGUUACUCACAUGGUGGCGCAUGUGUUGUCGAUCAUCUCGUGUCGUGAGAUGGGGGAAUAUAGUCGCGCAGAGAGCAGCAACCCUUCAUUUAUUGUCUCGAUCCCAUAAAGUUGAGCACUCAAUGGGAGUACUGCCUGUGAUGAGCAGGAGGAAGGUGGGGAUGACGUCAAGUCAUCAUGCCCCUUAUGCGCUGGGCUACACACGUGCUACAAUGGGCAGUACAGAGAGUUGCCAACCCGCGAGGGUGAGCUAAUCUCUUAAAGCUGUUCUUAGUUCGGAUUGUAGUCUGCAACUCGAGUACAUGAAGUUGGAAUCGCUAGUAAUCGCAAAUCAGCAUGUUGCGGUGAAUACGUUCUCGGGUCUUGUACACACCGCCCGUCACACCCAUGAGAGUUGGUUGCACCAGAAGUAGCAGGCCUAACCGUAAGGAGGGAUGUUCCCAAGGUGUGAU